CAUGCAAGUCGAGCGAACAGAUAAGGAGCUUGCUCCUUUGACGUUAGCGGCGGACGGGUGAGUAACACGUGGGUAACCUACCUAUAAGACUGGAAUAACUCCGGGAAACCGGGGCUAAUGCCGGAUAACAUAUAGAACCGCAUGGUUCUAUAGUGAAAGAUGGUUUUGCUAUCACUUAUAGAUGGACCCGCGCCGUAUUAGCUAGUUGGUAAGGUAAUGGCUUACCAAGGCGACGAUACGUAGCCGACCUGAGAGGGUGAUCGGCCACACUGGAACUGAGACACGGUCCAGACUCCUACGGGAGGCAGCAGUAGGGAAUCUUCCGCAAUGGGCGAAAGCCUGACGGAGCAACGCCGCGUGAGUGAUGAAGGGUUUCGGCUCGUAAAACUCUGUUAUUAGGGAAGAACAUAUGUGUAAGUAACUGUGCACAUCUUGACGGUACCUAAUCAGAAAGCCACGGCUAACUACGUGCCAGCAGCCGCGGUAAUACGUAGGUGGCAAGCGUUAUCCGGAAUUAUUGGGCGUAAAGCGCGCGUAGGCGGUUUCUUAAGUCUGAUGUGAAAGCCCACGGCUCAACCGUGGAGGGUCAUUGGAAACUG
rnacentral:rRNA from 1 species